UGAGUGUUAUGAGUAUAAAACAGUGGUUUCGUUCUGUUAUACUGGCAAGCCUGAAGUAAAUACUGUUGGGCUGGCAUCUAACAAAAGAAUUGUUUGUUUUAUGCACAGUAUAUGUGGAAGAAUGAGGUACAGGUAGUUAGGAUACUGAGGUGAUACAAUGGACUGUACCAUUUCAGGGAGCAUUUGGGGGAAGGGAGAAGUAAAGAGUGUUCUUAGGUUAAAAUCAACUGAGAAUUUAAAAAAUCUAGUCUAUUUGAUUUCUAUAUUGCCACCUUGCCAUGUCCACAUGUACAGUCACUGAGGAGUAAGACAGUGGUAAAUCCACUCUUUAAAUAUCUUAAAUGCCUUGAAGAACCCUAUUGGGGUCACCAUAAGCUGGAAGUAGGCAAUCAGUGUGUUUUAGUAACUAAGAUAUUCAGUUCGCUGAGAGAAGGGCCAGCCCUACCAUUGAAUAUAUUUAAGCUUUAAGUGGCAGAUGGUGGAAAGGCUGGGAUCAAGUUGUUGAGGAUAGUGGUAAAUAGGCUUCAUUUGCCCUCUAAGCUGCCCACAGGUGUGCUAUCAUCAGUAUCAAAAUAAGAUUAAACUCCCAAUUCAGUUAUGUUCUGUGGACAAAAUGAGGGACAUAAUGUUGGCCUAAGGCAGCAAAAUAUCUUGGGCUAGCCUUGGCUAGAGAGAGUUAGGUUUCCAAUCCUGCUUUGCCAUGGAAUUCACUAUGCACUUUGGGGCUAGCAGUCAUUAUCUUUCAGUUUCAUCUACCUCAGGAAUUGUUUUAAGGAUAAACAUUCUUUGGGUGUUCGCUGGAGUAAGAGUAGGAGAAAAUGUUGUCGCUGCCACGGUUAUUGCAACCUGUUUGUCAGGAAAGAGUUUCUACUCCCGCCCUCCACGUUCUUCUGUGUGGAGGAACCAUGAGGUCUGUGUAAACACAAGGUUCUUCAUAUAAAGCACAAUAAGGUCCUUCCAUCUCUCUACCUUUUUCCUGGCCUUGUCUCUGCUCUCCUAACAUUAACAUUCUGCUCUAUUGGGUAGGUAGCUGUGUUAGUUUGCCACCGGGGGGGGGGACACACAACAACAACGAGUGUUAAAGGAAAAUGGAUUUGUUGAGGCACACAGUUCUGUGGCCUAGUGCUCCCUUCUCUGUUAGUUGGUUAUACCAAGGUGUUUUGCUACCUACAGAAGAGUACAAGAUAAGCUGGCAGCUGAAUGUACAGUACUUCAGUCUUGCCGAGGUGACAGUAUCCUACAUUUCUUCUGAGGGCAGCAUCCUUUCAAAAGAAGGCCAGGCCAGGCCAUAGGGAACAUCUGUCCUCCUACAAAAAAUAGCCAGAGAGCUACUGCCACUGCCCCACACUACCUAUCAUCCUCCACCUGGACUGAUUUCUUCAGUUUGCCUUAUAAGGCAGUUGAGCUGGUGGAAUGGAAAAGUCCCUGUUUCAGAAGAGGAAAUGGCUGGCUAGUACCCUGAAUAAAAGCACUCUAGAAUGACA
rnacentral:lncRNA from 1 species